rnacentral:rRNA from 1 species
GGUGUAGAAAUACGGAAGGCAGGUGUGGCCCUAGGUGGCGUGGGCGCUGGAGAAUUGAGGGGGGCUGCUCCUAGUACGAGAGGACCGGAGUGGACGCAUCACUGGUGUUCGGGUUGUCAUGCCAAUGGCACUGCCCGGUAGCUAAAUGCGGAAGAGAUAAGUGCUGAAAGCAUCUAAGCACGAAACUUGCCCCGAGAUGAGUUCUCCCUGAGACUAUAAGUCUCCUGAAGGAACGUUGAAGACGACGACGUUGAUAGGCCGGGUGUGUAAGCGCAGCGAUGCGUUGAGCUAACCGGUACUAAUGAACCGUGAGGCUUAACCUUACAACGCCGAAG